UACGAAGGGGGCUAGCGUUGUUCGGAAUUACUGGGCGUAAAGCGCACGUAGGCGGACUACUAAGUCAGGGGUGAAAUCCCGGGGCUCAACCCCGGAACUGCCUUUGAUACUGAUAGUCUCGAGUCCGGAAGAGGAGAGUGGAAUUCCCGGUGUAGCGGUGAAAUGCGCAGAUAUCGGGAAGAACACCCGUGGCGAAGGCGGCUCUCUGGGACGGUACUGACGCUGAGACGCGAAAGCGUGGGGAGCGAACAGG
rnacentral:rRNA from 1 species